rnacentral:rRNA from 1 species
UACAGAGGGUGCGAACGUUGUUCGGAAUUACUGGGCAUAAAGAGCACGUAGGCGCACCGCAAGUGUGGGGUGAAAUCCCACGGCUUACCCGUGGAACUGCCUGGCAGACUGCGGUGCUAGAGGUUGGUAGGGGAGAGCGGAAUUCCUGGUGUAGCGGUGAAAUGCGCAGAUAUCAGGAGAACACCCGUGGCUAAGGCGGCUCUCUAGUACGGUACUGACGCUGAGACGCGAAGCGUGGGGAGCGAACAGG